GCGCCCCUAGCUCAAUGGACAGAGCAGCAGCCUUCUAAGCUGUCGGUUGGGGGUUCGAAUCCCCCGGGGCGCG
rnacentral:tRNA from 1 species